UUAAAUUAUUUUAUUUUGUGUAAGCUAAAAGGAAAUUUACACACUUAAAUCUCAAAAGACCUUGGGCAUGCACAUUGACCUUUUUAGAGGUUCUUCUACAUAGCUCUCUUUUUUCCAUAGGAAUUUCCCCAGACAUUUACAACCCAUAGUUUUUUACUGUAUGUACAGCCUAAAACCAUAGCAAUCUAUGAUUAUGUCAUUUUACACUGUGCAAAAUCAAACAGGAAUAGUGGUACAACAGAACAUAAAAAUUUUUAAACAGGUAAAUUUCAUUGUAAGACAUUCAUAUAGUUUUGGUCCUUCUUUUCCAAAUCAAACUGAUUAAAAGCAGAUAACCUUCUAAUGACCCCUCCCAAAAUCAAGUAUUUAGACAGUGAUCCAUAACUGGAACAAGAAGUUACUGACAGCAUACCUUUCAAAAGGCUAUAAUAGUGACAGAGCCAUACUACUGAAGUUUAAGAACAUAAAAAUUGAUCAGCCAACCAAACAGGGGGAGGGGAUGGGGGAGAAAAAAAAGGAAGAAACACAUCUUAAGCUUGUUAAAAGACAAAAGAAAUUAUUGGGGUUUAAAAAAACAACAACAACUGAAAACCCACAAAGGGACAAUGUAACCUUUUGAUGUUUGGGUGGUUUUUUUUUUUUCCAGCAAUAAGUAUCUUAC